ACUAAGUCAAUAUUGUAUUGUAUUGUAUUGUAUUGUAUUUAUUUAAAAGGAUUCUCCAAAAGCAAAUGGAUGCUUAUCACGGAAAUCUCCCACAUAAAUAUCGCAAGAAAAAUGGGGAAAUGGGGGAGAGGAGAGUGGAAGAUGAAGCAUGGGAAGAAGGGAAACAAGUACCUAAAUAUCGAGGUAUAAAAGCAGGAAAGAAAUCGACGAGGGAAGAAAUCACCUCUGCAGAUAAUAGCGGGACAUUUAGAUGAAAAAAACCCAGCAAGGAUUAAUUUCAAGGAAAAAAAAUUCUCAAACGGAAAAGUUCGGAAUUCCAGUCAGAGAAUAUCUAUGCUGUGAGUAAUGAGUCUUUAGAGCAAUGCGAAAAUUGACAGAGGACUGAACGCAGCGGAUGUGUUCUGGAAGUUUGUUCCAUUCCACAGAUAAACUGAAGAGAGGGGAUUUAAGGAAAUGGGCGCCAGAACGAGGUAAAACUAUAGAGGACGGGUGACGACAACUAAGGGAUACAUUGAAUUUGAAACGAAUUAGCAAAGACGGAAACUGGUAAAAGACAUGAUGAAAAUACAGCAAGGACAGAAUCUGACGACGCCACUUCAGGGAUGACCAGUCACAAGUACGAUGACCAGUCACAAGUACAUAUUAGGUGUAUCAUGACUAGCCAAAGCCUGUGUUCAAUCGCUAAAAAGGAGUCAAAUAUAAGCAGUCUAUAUAGUCCUAAGGAGUGAAAUAUGCAUGAAUAUUGGACUGCUUAGGUAUAGCGAAAAUGUAUGGAAGUCAAUACUAAGGGAGUGAUAAUUCGAAGUAUAUCGCUGCCGGAAUGUCGAAAAUCGUGAAAUCAUCAGCUGAAAUUUUGCAGCACCGAAAUUUUAUUUCUUUACAGCAUAGAACUCACCGUACUCGUAUUGCACCUUCUUUUUGCUCUGUGAGUUUCAGACCUUAUUGAAGGCAGGUCACCACGGCGUAUGAACAAUACUCGUGCUGCCUACAGCAUGGAGGCUUUCCAUCAUGUUCUCUCCAGAUGUCUACAUGUACGUGUGCGGUGACGAUAGUAACGGCAUCGCAAUCGCAAUCUUCAAACCGGCCGGAGUCCGGCCUCCAGCACCACCAAUGCCGCCACCACCACCAUACGGAUUGGUGAAAAGAUCAUCCGUGGAGCAGCGGCAUGGCAUGCUAUGCAAGAGCAGGAGAAUCCCCCAGCACCUCUGCCGCCAUCGCCGGCUCCCACCUCUGAGGAGAGACAGCGGCGAUGGCAGCAGAGGCUUUCUGAUGCACACAUGGACAAGAUGGAGGAAACGGAUGUUUGAGUGCCCUGACUGGAGUGAAUGCCCCAGCUGCCAUGGCCUCUCGUUUGGCAGUGGUUGCUACUAGACCUUCUAGUAUCACACUCGCGACUACAAGAUUCGUGGUGCACAUGGACAUCGCCAUCAGUGAGGCCUCCCGCUGUCAAUCCUGUUGAGGGGCGGACAGGUCGGUGUGAAACCUGAACGGCAACCGAGCCCGUCGCGUUGGAGGAUCUCAGUGCUGAUUCAGCUGCUACCUCCUCAGUCACUGCCAUCGUUGAAAGUUUCGUCCACAAAGCACUCAUCUAUCAUUCCUUCCUACGCUCCGUGACAUAUAUAACUCACUUUCAGCAUCACUUUCUUUUUACAUGCAUAUCUCCAAUAAUUGGUAUUUGUAUUGUGAAACCAUACCGACAUUAUAGUUUUAUACAAUUCACAUCCCAGUAAGCCAUGAACGGAGACCCCCUCGACCAUGGCCUCGGCCUUUGGGGAAUGCAUAAAAAAAUAAAUAACAUGGCGUGCGACAGCUAGCCGCUUGCACCUCUUCCCCGUAUGCCUGUAAUAUCUUGCACAUAACCCCGCUUGCCGUCGCGUCAUUAACUUUCAUUUCCCUAAAGUAUUCUAAGCGUCUGUAGCCAUCACAGCGAGUGGAAUAUUGCACCUUGCAGUUGCACUUGUUUGUUGGUACAUUGCAGGGCAAGUAUCUCCCCAUCUCUAACUACUAACCACUAUUUCUUUUACACCCUUCUCACACUAUGUGGUAAUACAGUCUCCCUUGGACCUUUGUUGAGAAUAUAAGAUUACCGACUGUAACUGUGGGCAGUGGAAGAACAAUUCGGACUUUGUAGCACAAUAGUUAUUGGUUUGUUCUCUCGAUCACUAUUCCAUGUACAUGUACAUGUAGAUUCACUGA